AUGAAAAGCAAGAGAUAAAGGGACUGUGAUGAAAAGCAAGAGAUAAAGGGACUGUUUUGCUUUUCAUCGCAACUCCUUUAUCUCUUGCUUUUCAUCG
rnacentral:pre_miRNA from 1 species